rnacentral:lncRNA from 1 species
AUUUAUUUUGGGCCCCAUCGUUUCUUCUUUAAUGUUCUUGACUUUAAACUAAUUAAAGUGAACAAUUAAAGUUUUAUUUUAAUUCAACAUUUAAAUAAAUGAUCACUUAUACACAACAAGUUUGUUUAUAAUGUAUAAGAUUUUAGGGUAAGAAAUGCACUGUCGUUUGUUUUGUGCCACAUUAUUUCUUUUUUAACGUUCUUGACUUUAAAAUAAUUAAAGUGAACAAUUAAAUUUUUAUUUUCUUUAAAUAUUUGAAUAAAUAAUUGCUAAUAUAUAACAAUUUUGUUUAUAAUAUAUAAGUGUAAUAUUUUAGGGUAAGCAAGGCAGCGUUAUUUAUUUUGGACCAAUAGUUUCUUUUUUAAUGUUCUUGACUUUAAACUACUUCAAGUGAAAAUUAAAAUUUUAUUUUACUUGAACAUUUGAUUAAAUGAUUACUAGUAGAUAACAAAUUUGUUUAUAAUUUAUAAGUAUAAUAUUUUAGGGUAAGAAAAGCGCUGUCGUUUAUUUUGAUCC